GGCGCAGUCCGCGGCAGGGUUCCGGCCGUGCUGCGGUCCGCACGCUGCGCCCGCUCCCGCCUGCCUCCCGCCCUACCCCCCACCCUCCCCGGCCGAGGCCCGGCGCCGGUCCGUCCGCGGGCCCGUCCCACCGCCCUGGAGCACCAUCCGGGGCCGUGGGCCGGGCACCGGGCGCGGCCCGCUCCGGACCUCGGCCGGGGGUCCCUCCCCUCCCCCCGCUCGACCCCCCAUCCGACGGCCCGGCCGGGCUGGGACCCCCGCACCGGGGUCCCGGUUCCCGUCCGCGGCCCGGGGGGACCCGAGCGGGGGCUUCCCACCCCCACCCCGCUCCUCCCCGGGCUCCGGCCCGGGAUCCCUCGCUGCUCCCGGCGGCCUCCGCCGGCUUCCCGGUCCACCCGCCGCGGAACGGACGGGACCCGGGGUCCGCGCCCUUCCCCUCCCCCCACGGGGGGCUGGGUCGCGGACCCCGGUUCCUAGGCUCGUUCCGCGGUGGGCGACCGGGGAUCCCCCACCCCGCUCCUCCCCGGGCUCCGGCCCGGGAUCCCUCGCUGCUCCCGGCGGCCUCCGCCGGCUUCCCGGUCCACCCGCCGCGGAACGGACGGGACCCGGGGUCCGCGCCCUUCCCCUCCCCCCACGGGGGGCUGGGUCGCGGACCCCGGUUCCUAGGCUCGUUCCGCGGUGGGCGACCGGGGAUCCCCCACCCCGCUCCUCCCCGGGCUCCGGCCCGGGAUCCCUCGCUGCUCCCGGCGGCCUCCGCCGGCUUCCCGGUCCACCCGCCGCGGAACGGACGGGACCCGGGGUCCGCGCCCUUCCCCUCCCCCCACGGGGGGCUGGGUCGCGGACCCCGGUUCCUAGGCUCGUUCCGCGGUGGGCGACCGGGGAUCCCCCACCCAGCUCCCCUUCCCGGCUCGCCCCGCUGGCUUUUGGGCCCCUCCGGGCUUUUUUUCCGGCUGGGGGUCGCGGCGGCCGGCCGACGACGGUAGGUGGGCCGGGCGGACGGUGGUGGGGACGGGCGACGCCCCGGCUCGACGGCAGUCGGCCCCGGAGGGUUGGGGGCUGGGGGCCCGGUCAGGAGCUCCGGGAGCGGGGUCGACCGCGACGGCUUCCGGGUCUCGCGGCGGCUCCCUCUCGGCGGCUCCGGUUGGGCUCCCCUCCCCCCUCUCGAGGGUCCGGUCGCCGGUUGUGGUCGGGGGUCCCUCGGCCUAGCCGCCGGCUCUCGGUCCGCCUUACCCUGGGCGUUGGCCGGUCCCGUGACGCUCCCCUCCCCCGCUGCUCCCCAAAAACUCCGCCCGAACCGUCGCGGUUUGCUGGCCCUGGGCGUGGUCUCCCCACUCCCCUCCCCCCAUCGGCCGCCCAGCCGGGGUCGGCGCCUCGGACCCCACCAGGCUGUGGCGUGUGUGCUGGCCGAUGCGGCGGCGAGGUUGGGUGUGGCCGGAAGCGCUCGGGGUCGACGGUGGGCCGCCAUGACACCUCAAUUGCCGUCAGUACGCCCCUCCACAAUCACCGUCCCCACACGAUGGGCCCGGCAGUUCACCCAACGUUGGUUCAGGCCCAGUCGGGUUUUUCCCCGGUACGAACGCACGUCCCCGUGGGCUCCACGCGUUUUCCACCCUUUCCUGGAGGGGUCCGGAACACCGUGAAUCCACGGGGAGGGUCCCGGCACGGGCCGAGGAGACCACGACCGUCCCACCCGGCGUGUCGACUCGUCCGAGACCCGGGAAGGGAACAGGCCCCACCUUUUUUCCCUUCUCCGAUUUGCCGUGGAAAACCCGUGAACCGAUACGGGUGCAGACGGCCGAAAAAAUUCGAGACGGCAAUACGACGGCAGGGCGUGAUUUUCUCCCCCACCCGACAAAACCGUGUCCCUCAAAAUUCCCCACCUUUCUCUGUUCAAAUGGCCCCGAAACUGUAAAACACCGUUUGACCGCACCCCAACCGGCGCCAUCUUGGUGACCUUCUCGACGGUUCUCUCGCUCGUCAUGCCGUUCUGAGCUCCGACAUGGCGGACGAGAGAAAAUGGCGUCGAGAGCCGAGGAGCGUUUUCGCUCCAGGCGGGUAAAAAAAUAGCACGAUAACUUUUCUGUGCUUUUUUGAGACGUUUUUGAAGAGCUUUUUUUCUGCUCAGAGCGAAAAAAUGAUAGCCCUGAAAAUCUCGACGAGUCUGGCCGAGCGGCGCCAUCUUGGAGGAGGGGCGAGUCGCGGGCACCGCCUCGGUACCCCCUGGCCGAGGCGAGUCCGCGGUCGCCGCCUGUUCCGUGAUGCUACCUAGAGGGCGCCGUCGAGGCGACUCUUCCUGUUUUCGCCCUGAGGGCUAACGGUCGCUGACGUCAAACCAUCUCGUGCUCGCUGAGUCACAUCCGGUUGUUGACAAGCGAUGGAGGACCGCACCCAAAGUGCGCCCUCUAGUCAUCGCGCCUGACCCCUUUUAUAAACUGCUCGAAGAAAAGAACACCUUAUGUGAAAAAAUACAGAAUGAUGACAAGUUCAUUCAACACAACCGCUCAACAACGCCAUAUCUAUCAGUGUCCAAAAACUAUCUUCUAUCCUUUGAAACUAUAAAUGCUGCCUAUAUACAUAUUUAGUAUCCAAGACUCUUACCACGUAGACGAAAAGAAGUGAUACAAUGAUCUUGACGUGUAUCGUCUAUAUCGUGCUAGAUAUAUUCAGAUAAGACGCGCAAACCAUAGAUUUCUCAUCAGUAUCAUGAAAGACCUAUAGCUCUAUAUACGAACCUAGUCAUUUUAGGACAGCCGCCGGAGAAGCCGACGAGGGAUCGGGCGGGUGCAGCCAGAACCUCACGCCCGAUCCCGCCUCCGGUAGGCGAUUUGCAUCUGUUUGGUAAAAAGCUCAUAAGUCUGUAUGUGACCUAUAUAUAUAUUAUACGCUAUGUACACCGAACUGUCGCUGUUGUAUAAGAAGAAAAAACUCUCCAUAUUUAUAUCGUCUGAAUUUUUGCUUGAUAGACACGUGUUUGGAACUCUGUCCCCCCACGUUUUCACUGUGUAUAACAAAAAUAUGUGUUUCUCAAAAGAUCUUGAGGUGUUUGAAAACGGGGGAAACCUGCGUUUGGGUGCGCUAAGCCCCGGACUGGGACGUAGCCGGCGUCCGGCACCUAUAUUUUUCUAUUUUUUUUUUACAAAAUAUAUGAUGAACCAAGAAUAAAACUCGUAGUUUGACCGCACCCCAACCGGCGCCAUCUUGGUGACCUUCUCGACGGUUCUCUCGCUCGUCAUGCCGUUCUGAGCUCCGACAUGGCGGACGAGAGAAAAUGGCGUCGAGAGCCGAGGAGCGUUUUCGCUCCAGGCGGGUAAAAAAAUAGCACGAUAACUUUUCUGUGCUUUUUUGAGACGUUUUUGAAGAGCUUUUUUUCUGCUCAGAGCGAAAAAAUGAUAGCCCUGAAAAUCUCGACGAGUCUGGCCGAGCGGCGCCAUCUUGGAGGAGGGGCGAGUCGCGGGCACCGCCUCGGUACCCCCUGGCCGAGGCGAGUCCGCGGUCGCCGCCUGUUCCGUGAUGCUACCUAGAGGGCGCCGUCGAGGCGACUCUUCCUGUUUUCGCCCUGAGGGCUAACGGUCGCUGACGUCAAACCAUCUCGUGCUCGCUGAGUCACAUCCGGUUGUUGACAAGCGAUGGAGGACCGCACCCAAAGUGCGCCCUCUAGUCAUCGCGCCUGACCCCUUUUAUAAACUGCUCGAAGAAAAGAACACCUUAUGUGAAAAAAUACAGAAUGAUGACAAGUUCAUUCAACACAACCGCUCAACAACGCCAUAUCUAUCAGUGUCCAAAAACUAUCUUCUAUCCUUUGAAACUAUAAAUGCUGCCUAUAUACAUAUUUAGUAUCCAAGACUCUUACCACGUAGACGAAAAGAAGUGAUACAAUGAUCUUGACGUGUAUCGUCUAUAUCGUGCUAGAUAUAUUCAGAUAAGACGCGCAAACCAUAGAUUUCUCAUCAGUAUCAUGAAAGACCUAUAGCUCUAUAUACGAACCUAGUCAUUUUAGGACAGCCGCCGGAGAAGCCGACGAGGGAUCGGGCGGGUGCAGCCAGAACCUCACGCCCGAUCCCGCCUCCGGUAGGCGAUUUGCAUCUGUUUGGUAAAAAGCUCAUAAGUCUGUAUGUGACCUAUAUAUAUAUUAUACGCUAUGUACACCGAACUGUCGCUGUUGUAUAAGAAGAAAAAACUCUCCAUAUUUAUAUCGUCUGAAUUUUUGCUUGAUAGACACGUGUUUGGAACUCUGUCCCCCCACGUUUUCACUGUGUAUAACAAAAAUAUGUGUUUCUCAAAAGAUCUUGAGGUGUUUGAAAACGGGGGAAACCUGCGUUUGGGUGCGCUAAGCCCCGGACUGGGACGUAGCCGGCGUCCGGCACCUAUAUUUUUCUAUUUUUUUUUUACAAAAUAUAUGAUGAACCAAGAAUAAAACUCUAGCUCUCGUCUAUUUUUAAUAUGCUCUACUUAGAACCUUUUUAAUGACAGAAUGAACUCCAUGUUAUACGCUCUUUAUAUAGUUUCUCUGCACUAACCUUUAAAACCGUAUCCUUCCCUGUUGUACAAAUCAUCUUUUGAUACACAAUGAUGACCUGAUAUCCCUCCAUAUAUAUGAUCGGAUAUUAUUCCGUUAGACUUGUCCUCCUUUUUUUUCCUCAUCUCCUGUAUCUGGAGAUAUAUGUUGACCACCACCGCCAUGACCACCAAAAAGCUAGCCGUCACGACUAGAAAUGUGUAGGAUUCGGACUUUCCGUUUGAGAAGAAAGAGACCGCGUCUCUGGACGCUCUUUUUGUCGGUCUGAAUCGACCCGGGAUACGUAAGAGAGCGGCCCUACAUCGGGGGGCGCUCGAGACCGACGACGUUCCAUCUGACCAGAAAAAAAAAGGCACCCCUCGGUGGCGACCUCUCACCAUCGUUUGCCCGUCCGCCCGUCCUUCGUAGCCAUCAUCAUCAUCUCAGGCUCUAUCGGUACCAUCGUUGUCAUCUGAAAAAAAAAACUGCCUCACCCACCUGCGUAAAAACACCAUCUUUCCGGAGGUGCGGUAAGACGGGCAAAUACGGUCGUGCCGAGGCAAAAAAACGCACCAUCGACACCACACCCUCAUGAGCACCACCUGUCGGUGUUGGUCGUCCUCCAUCGUUCUCUACGAACAUCUCGACGCCCGGGUGACGGACGACGGCAAGACGUCCCGGAGAAGACGGUGUUCUCUCGGGCGGUACGCUCUCUGGAUCUAUAAUAUCUAUAGUAGCUAAACGAGACUGUGAGUACGACGAACCACAUCAUCUUUUUUUUAUGUUGCUUCUUUAGAAAAUGACUUAUGUCGACGACACUCGGCAUCAGCCAUCUCGUGAAACACGCUCGCUUUUCGUCUCUCCAAGGAACACUGGGUCCGCUGAAAGGGACCGUGUACCGACCAAAGCAAAAAACACACACGUAGUAACAUGAUCAACCACGUCUGAAUGACACGAAAACACAAUCGUAUAACGCUCUAUUCAUGGAACGAACUUGGAAUAAAAAAACCAUCGCAGGCCAGAGGCUAAGCCGAAACCGUCCGGGGAAGCGGGCGCGAGUUUUCCGACUUAGUCUCUGGUGCUCGUUGAGCCUCUUUUUUUUUUCCUGAUUCUCUGAAGAAUCACCGUCACAGCCCUAUGACGCGAAAUCAAUUGCUAGAACAUAAACGUUCUCAACAGGUAUGAAAUGAACAAACUAGAUGAUGCUAUAACCUUAUAUUGUGUGUAUAUAGAUAGGUGUGAAAUUUGUAGGAUAAAAAGUGUCGUUGUAUGAUGCACAACGAUCGUGAAACUGGAGACUGUAGCUCUCUACCGAAUGCAAAUACACAAAUGACAUCGAUUCCCGUCCCCACAUAAAGAAAUGUGCUUUACUGUGAAAGAAUGAAGAAGAUUCUUGUUCCUCGUACGACGGGGCCCUCGCUCGUCGUGCCUCUUCCCCCCUCCGGGAGAGGGGACGUCGGGGCCCUCCGUCGCACCGGGCCGAAGCCAGUGAAAUGUUUACUACACUGUCAUCAGAAUAUAUGAUGUAUAUUAUUUCCUCCAAACUCCUCACCAUAGCCACCAAUUCGCAUCACUUAAGAAAGUAGUAGCAACCGCGGCGGCGGCGACCGGCCGGUCGUCGUCUCCUCGUCCUCAAAUGUUGUACAUGUGCAGAAAAAUGUGUAAAUACGUGUUAUUUAUCCCAUGCGUCUUGUACAUAGAUAUAUGUUUUUAUAUACGCUAUUUAUACUUUAUAUAUCCUUUUGCAUAACCAUAGACAGUCAAGGAUUUUAAUGAUUUGCUCAUCCGCCUUUGAGCCAUCGCUUAGGAGUUAGUUCCUCUAUGUUCUCGGCCCACCUUUUCGACUACAGUAGCAAACCCUUGUACUACCACCCCGAUAAAAACCACAUCAUCAUCGUCACCACGACCUGGAAACGACACACGUUCCCCCCCAAUCUUGGGCAUGUGUAUAUAUAAAAAGAAUGGGAGGGAGAGGACGUGGGGCUCGAGAAGAAAUAAACGCCAAGCUCGAUUCGAACC
rnacentral:lncRNA from 1 species